GAGUUUGAUCCUGGCUCAGAGUGAACGCUGGCGGCAGGCCUAAUACAUGCAAGUCGAACGGCAGCACGGCAGAGCUUGCUCUGUGGGUGGCGAGUGGCGGACGGGUGAGGAAUACAUGGGAAUCUGCCCAGUCGUGGGGGAUAACGUAUGGAAACGUACGCUAAUACCGCAUGCGCCCUACGGGGGAAAGCCGGGGACCUUCGGGCCUGGCGCGAUUGGAUGAGCCCAUGUUCGAUUAGCUAGUUGGCGGGGUAAAGGCCCACCAAGGCGACGAUCGCUAGCUGGUCUGAGAGGAUGAUCAGCCACACUGGGACUGAGACACGGCCCAGACUCCUACGGGAGGCAGCAGUGGGGAAUAUUGGACAAUGGGCGCAAGCCUGAUCCAGCAAUGCCGCGUGUGUGAAGAAGGCCUUCGGGUUGUAAAGCACUUUUAUCAGGAGCGAAACUACUGUCGGCUAAUACCCGGCGGAACUGACGGUACCUGAGGAAUAAGCACCGGCUAACUUCGUGCCAG
rnacentral:rRNA from 1 species